rnacentral:lncRNA from 1 species
GGGGGAUCAUCAACAGGCGGCCAGCUGUGGCCACCAGAGGGCGAUGGUCCCGUGGACCGGACAGACAGGGCUUCUCAGGCCAGGGUCUCCUGGAGGAUUUUUGGUCUGGUUCUGUUCUGUUCUGUUUUUUUAGUCAUUUUUAUUGCACUAUAACAUACGUGAAGAAAAGAACACAAAUCAUAAGUUGUACAGCUGUCAGAUUUUUCUCAAAGUGAACAGGAAAGAGUAGCAUCCAAACCUGGUGACCAGCAGCCUCUCCUCAAGGAGAAAUCGGAGUAGGCCCUUGGCUUUCAAGGACUUGUUAUUGGCCAUUUGGAGGCUUUUCAAAGAUGACUCUGAGGUGUCAGAAGAGGAACCACAUGUGACUCCGUUGGAGCUGGACCUGGAGCCUCCAGCACGGCUGUGAGGACGCUCAGUGCCUUCCUGGCCACUCUGCUACACUUCCUGUCACCGAAUGCUGAAGAGAGACCCCCGGUAGGUAUCCUAGCCCCCUCACAGAGGAGGACUCUCAGAAUCCUUCAGGGACUUCUCCAGGGCUGCGUGGGGACAGACCCAGACUCCUCUCCUUUCUCCAGCGGCAGAAAGCUGGCCCGUUCCUGAGUGCCAGCCCUGAGGAACAUCCUGUACGCCCUCCCAGCUCAGCCUCACACACUGUUCCCCCCAGGCUGGUGUCAGCGCUCAGCACUUGGUCAAGGCACUGGUCACGUUCUACUUUGGCUAACUCUUCGCUCCCUUCCGAAGACGCCACCUGACUUCCACCUCCACAGAGCAGUUUUGCAGGCUUUGGAUAUCGUACAAAUGGACUCACAAGCUAUCCUAUUGUUGGACUUUCACAAAUCUCUGGCUCUUUCUACCCUCUCUGGCAUUGGAGGCCAGUGAGCUCCCCACUCACGGAGCUUUACCUGCCUGCAGGCACAGUCAGAUCCAACUUCUGGAAAGAGAAGCCUUGAAAAAACAAAGCUUCCCCACCAAACACCUGAUGGGAACCGUAACACAGGACCUCCAGCCCCGGCUUCCAGCUGGCUGGGAUUCUAGUUGGCUUCCUGUGUGCUUCUCUUGCAUAUUUUGAGACCUGUGCACGCUAAGAAAAACCCACAUGUGAAAAUCCAAACCAAAUAAAGCUGUUUAAUC